rnacentral:rRNA from 1 species
CCUACGGGAGGCAGCAGUGGGGAAUAUUGGACAAUGGGGGGAACCCUGAUCCAGCGACGCCGCGUGAGUGAAGAAGUAUUUCGGUAUGUAAAGCUCUAUCAGCAGGGAAGAAAGAAAUGACGGUACCUGACUAAGAAGCCCCGGCUAACUACGUGCCAGCAGCCGCGGUAAUACGGAGGGGGCAAGCGUUAUCCGGAUUUGCUGGGUGUAAAGGGAGCGUAGACGGCGAUGCAAGUCUGAAGUGAAAGGCGGGGGCCCAACCCCCGGACUGCUUUGGAAACUGUAUGGCUUGAGUGCAGGAGAGGUAAGUGGAAUUCCGAGUGUAGCGGUGAAAUGCGUAGAUAUUAGGAGGAACACCAGUGGCGAAGGCGGCUUACUGGACUGUAACUGACGUUGAGGCUCGAAAGCGUGGGGAGCAAACAGGAUUAGAUACCCCUGUAGUC